AGUGAACGCUGGCGGUAGGCCUAACACAUGCAAGUCGAACGGCAGCACAGGAGAGCUUGCUCCCUGGGUGGCGAGUGGCGGACGGGUGAGGAAUACAUCGGAAUCUACUCUGUCGUGGGGGAUAACGUAGGGAAACUUACGCUAAUACCGCAUACGACCUACGGGUGAAAGCAGGGGACCUUCGGGCCUUGCGCGAUGGAAUGCGCCGAUGUCGGAUUAGCUAGUUGGCGGGGUAAAGGCCCACCAAGGCGACGAUCCGUAGCUGGUCUGAGAGGAUGAUCAGCCACACUGGAACUGAGACACGGUCCAGACUCCUACGGGAGGCAGCAGUGGGGAAUAUUGGACAAUGGGCGCAAGCCUGAUCCAGCCAUACCGCGUGGGUGAAGAAGGCCUUCGGGUUGUAAAGCCCUUUUGUUGGGAAAGAAAUCCAGCUGGCUAAUACCCGGUUGGGAUGACGGUACCCAAAGAAUAAGCACCGGCUAACUUCGUGCCAGCCGCCGCGGUAA
rnacentral:rRNA from 1 species